CCUCAUCUUUGUACUCAUCAUCUUCCUCCUUUGAUUCAGUCAAUCUAUCUUCGAAAUCAACAAUCCAUCAUUAAUUAGUCUAUAAUUAUGGUGAAUCGUUUACAAUGUCUCACUACUCAUCGUCAUCAUCUUUGAAACAUCUGAUUUGCUCUUGUGGUGCAGGUACCUGCUAUCGCAUAGUGUCAUCAGAUUGUUAAUGUGUGUGUAUGAUCACAUUGUUACAUGUGAUUAUAGAAUGGUAGUUGUGGUUUGCAUAGGUGGGUUGAUACUUUCAUGUGUCCCAGAUGUGAAAGGGUAGUUUCAGCUUUGAUGCAUACUAUCAAAAAGAAAGAGGAAAUCGUCAAAACCAAAGCUAUGCAACUCACAAAUUGAAGUUUGUUUUAGGAAUUAGUUGGCUGUUAUUUGUUGUGUAUGUUUUGAACUUUUAAAAUGUACUGCAAUAACCUUUUGAAACCUCCAAUGGAUCUAUAUUUAUGUUGAUUAUGCUGUAUAUUCUGUUGAUUAUGUAGACUAACAUGUCUCUUUAUCAAAUUUUGUAUUUUGAUAGCCUUGUUAUAACCAUACUCAAUAUGAUGAGGUUGAAAAACAAGUUGUAAAUGUGGAAGAAAAAGAAGUGGUUCAAGAUAACUUUGGUGAGGUCUACAACAUGAAGAAGAGUUGCAAGCGAAAUAUGGAAUGGAUUACAACAACUUCGUAGAAUAGAUGUAAGAAGAAUAUGAAAAGGAUCUAGAGUUGGAAUAUGACAUUGAGGUAUUAAAAAAGGCUUGGGACUACGAAAGCCCCGAACAAGGGGAGGACCACUUGUACCACAAUCCGUAUUAAAGGCAAGCAUGAAUGAGAUUCUGAAUGGUAAAACGAUGAGUGUCAUAAACAAUAAUGUAUAUCAUGUUUGUAAGAGUUGUAAUGGUUGGAUUAUGAACUGUGUUAUUUGUAAUGUUUGAAUUCAAAUAUGACAUAUGUUGGUACCUUUGUUU
rnacentral:lncRNA from 1 species